CUAAGAAUAUUCCGCAAUGGACGGAAGUCUGACGGAGCGACGCCGCGUGGAUGACGAAGGCCGAAAGGUUGUAAAGUUCUUUUGCUGGGGAAGAAUAACCGCAGGAGGGAAUGCCUGUGGGAUGACAAGAACCGGCGAAUAAGCCCCGGCCAACUACGUGCCAGCAGCCGCGGUAACACGUAGGGGGCGAGCGUUGUUCGGAAUUACUGGGCGUAAAGGGCAUGUAGGCGGCUUGGAAAGCCUGGCGUGAAAGUCUGCAGCUUAACGGCAGGGGUGCGCUGGGAACUGCUGACCUUGAGUGACGGAGAGGGAGCUGGAAUUCCUGGUGUAGGGGUGAAAUCUGUAGAUAUCAGGAAGAACACCGAUGGCGAAGGCAAGCUCCUGGCCGAUGACUGACGCUGAGGUGCGAAAGUGUGGGGAUCAAACA
rnacentral:rRNA from 1 species